rnacentral:lncRNA from 1 species
CUGGAGAUGGCCCGUUAUUUGUUUACUACCUAAGUAGAACCACAUUUUUCCUCCUUUUUUAUUCAGUUAUUUAAAGUAUUCUGAGGCUUUUACUUGAGGUGGUUCUAUUAUUAUUAAAGGAGAGGGGUAAGACUUCAAUUAUUAUGUCAAUGUCUUUCUGCAUCAGAAAAUUGGUGAACUCCAAGCCAUAGGACCGGAUCAACGACGUGGAGGGUCCCCAUAGUGUAGGAGGGAGAAGGAUUUGGGAUGUUUUGAGCAAUUCCUCUGCGGAGGUUGGAAGGACACUGGACCAAUUAAGCACUUCUUAAAUUAAGUGCAGAACGGGCUCUAGGGGUUCAGCUCCUUCAAUUACUAUGAUACAUCCAGCCCUGUCAUGGAUUCCUUUUAUUUACCACUAUACUUACGAAGUACUAUUGAAUGUUGGCAAUUAUAACUAUUUUUGAAGAUUGAGUCACACUUUACUAGUUAUUAGAUGGUUGUGGAGUCUUAUGAUGUUUUUAUAACUCCGAUUCCACAACCCUAAAUGUAUUAUUCAUGAUAUAUAUUACUAUCAAUUUUUACUGUUUAGAUGUUGCAAAAAAGUAUUGUUGCUGUCCUGGUGGCAAUUCAAGCACCAAAGUCAAGCAUAUAUCUCUUACUGAGGAACUUGAUCCUGAGGAUCAAAAUGUGGUAUUUUCUUCUUUUCCAUGAGAUAAUAACCUUGAGAUUAAACGGUUGAGCCUUAUUUCAAGAUAAGACUAGAAAUCCAGCUAACAUUCAAAACUAUACAACACGCAUUUUGCCGAUUCAUGUUUCAAGGAGAAAAAUAUUACACAAACAAAUAUAGAAGCAAGAUAAAUUCUGUGUGGAUAAAAUUAAAAAACGAUGCUCAAUCAACCUUUCUAUUAUUACGAUAAUAUGUCAUCUAAUCCAAGACUUACCGUGAGCUAAGAAACGAACAAAUCAAACUUUAUCUAAUAAAAAGGUUUGUUGAGAGGGGCAAAGUUGAAAAUAUCAAGGAUUUCAAUGAAAAAUAUGACCAAUCUUGUAAGCCAACGGAUAUGCAGGAAAUGUGGAGAGAUAAUGUGGCCGUCUUUUAUAAAAUUUUGCUUAUUGAUAGCCAUCCUAAAACAGCAUUUAGUUUGACAAUCAGUCAAAAUACGUAUUUUUUCUAGAAAAUCGGGAAACUGUCUUUACCACACAAAAAAGUUAUUAAUAUUUGUGCUGUACGAAAAUCACUCAGGUUUCAAAUGUGAACAAUAGUUUAUACUAUUUGAUUAGGUAUAAGGAAGAAACGGAACAAUCCCUUAUAUCAGAAGAUAUGUCCUCGAUAUAUUCUAUGGAAAAAGUAAUUAUCUUGAAUUUAUACAAGAGCAGAUAUUCCUUCAUUCAAAAACUCCAUAUGGCAAUAGAAAUUCUCCACUAAUUCUAGGAAUGUGCGUGUUAUGGCAAACAACAACUCUGUCUUUAUGUCGACAAACAAUUUCGUCCGGCUUAUUUGUUUUCCCUUCUGAAACAAAUCAAAAGAGUCACCAGCAUUUUAUGAAUUGAAGCAGGAAUAGAUAAUUCAACAUCUGAUUAUUUACGUUGUUAAUAAGCCUUGCACUAUGCUAAGGACAUAAAUGUCUCUAUCAUCAAAGACGAGAUGUAUUUUUCUCAAAGUGUUGAAUUAUCGAGCGAAAUCUCUACAGAUAUGAGGAUAAUGGAUCAACCAAAACUAUUUUUUUUUUAUGGUUAAAAGUGUCCUAGGUAGGUAUAACUGCAAUGGUUUCUUUAUCGAUAAAUUGAUUCAAUAGUAUUAAAAAAUGGUUCUUCAAAGUUUCUCAAACUUGUAACUGACGUCGGAUAUAGGCCAAUCACCAUCCUGACUUAUGUACAUUUGGUAACCAUAAUUUUUAAAGAACAAAUUAGGAAAUGGUUCUUGUCCAAUGCAUAUUGAAAAUCCUUUCAUCAUCUCAAAAGAAAAAUAUUCAUAUAAUUUUUUUAAUGAACUUAGUAGGGGUGGACUUGUGAUUUUAUAUUUCUGACUGUAGUUCAUAUAUAUAAUUUAGUAAAGUUUAUAUUUGAUUGUGAUAUUAAUUUUUUUUUAAUUCUUAAAAAAAUCCUAGAAAGGAAUUUAUAUCUUGUCUAAAAGAAAUGCCGAUGUUUCAAGACCAUGUGAUAUGGAUUAAGAAGGGAUGUGUGAAACAAAAAGCUUAGUAUAACAAUUAGAAAAAGGAAAACAGUUGAUGUGUGUGCUCUUUCUUAUUUUUUCAUCAGUAUUUAGUUGCAAUACACAAGGGAGACGUGGAGUUUAAUCAAAA